UACGGAGGGUGCAAGCGUUGUUCGGAAUUAUUGGGCGUAAAGCGCGUGCAGGCGGUCAGGUAAGUCAGAUGUGAAAGCCUUCCGCUUAACGGAAGAAGUGCAUUUGAAACUACCUGGCUUGAGUUCGGGAGAGGAGAGUGGAAUUCCCGGUGUAGAGGUGAAAUUCGUAGAUAUCGGGAGGAACACCGGUGGCGAAGGCGGCUCUCUGGCCCGAUACUGACGCUGAGACGCGAAAGCGUGGGGAG
rnacentral:rRNA from 1 species